CCUUUGACGUUAGCGGCGGACGGGUGAGUAACACGUGGGUAACCUACCUAUAAGACUGGGAUAACUUCGGGAAACCGGAGCUAAUACCGGAUAAUAUUUCGAACCGCAUGGUUCGAUAGUGAAAGAUGGUUUUGCUAUCACUUAUAGAUGGACCCGCGCCGUAUUAGCUAGUUGGUAAGGUAGCGGCUUACCAAGGCGACGAUACGUAGCCGACCUGAGAGGGUGAUCGGCCACACUGGAACUGAGACACGGUCCAGACUCCUACGGGAGGCAGCAGUU
rnacentral:rRNA from 1 species